rnacentral:lncRNA from 1 species
AUGUGCUUCACUGACUCGUGGCUAACUGCGCUAACUCUGGACUCACACAUAAACAUCGACGGUUUCCAUCUGAUCCGGGCCAACAGAACAACAGAGAGUGGUAAGAAGAGAGGAGGGGGUCUGGCUGUGUUUGUGAACAAUAGAUGGGGUAACUCUGGGCAUUUAUCUAUCAAAGAGACGCUAUGCUGUAAGGACAUUAAGCUGCUAGCAGUUAGCAUGAGACCGUACUAUCUACCGCGAGAGUUUACACACGUUAUUGUGAUAGCUGUGUAUGUCCCGCCCUCUGCUAACGCUGCAGCAGCCUGUGAGGUCCUGCACACUGUAACCAGCAGACUCCAAACACAGCACCCUCAGGCCCUUUUCCUGAUCUCUGGGGAUUUUAAUCACAUCUCCCUGUCCUCCACUCUCCCCACCUUCACCCAGUAUGUCACCUGCCACAACAGAGACAAUGAAACAUUGGACUUAUUGUAUGCCAACACCAAGGAGGCAUACAGCUCAUCACCUCUCCCUCCACUGGGGAGCUCAGAUCACAAUCUGGUUCAUCUCCAGCCUGUGUACAAACCUUUAGUACACAGAGAACCAGUUGUGAAACGCACAGUAAAGAAAUGGUCGGCAGAGACUGAAGAGGCCCCGAGGGACUGUUUCCGUUCUACUGUGUGGGACAACCUCUGCAGCCCCCUGGAGGAUGACCUCAACAGCAUCACAGACUGCACUACGGAUUACAUGAACUUCUGUGUGGACAACACCAUACCCAUCAAAAAGGUACGGUGUUUUUCUAACAACAAGCCAUGGAUAGAUCCUGAAAUUAAGGCUCUCCUCAAGGAGAAGAAGAGAGUCUUUAGAUCUGGAGACAAACAGGAGCUGAGAGUUGUGCAGAAGAAACUGAAAUGGAAGAUAAGGCAAGGAAAGGAAAACUACAGGAGGAAGAUGGAAGAGCAGCUGCAACAGGAUAACAUCAGAGGGGUUUGGAACAGCCUGAAGACAAUCUCAGGACAAAAACCAGCCCCCCAGGGUGCAGGAGACUUGGGGUGGGUGAAUGACCUAAAUAAAUAUUUUAAUUGUUUUGAUCAACCACCCACCCCUCCCCCAGCAUCGUCCCCCCUGCUGCAAUCUCCCUCAUCUUCAGGGCCUGCCUGUCUUUCAUCACAGGACUUCACAAAUCUCAGCUCCCAGCCAUCACACCCACCCCCGGCUUCUGUGGACUCCAACAUACACCCCCUUCCCCCAAAAUCCCCUCUCUCCAUCUCAGCACUUCAAGUGAGGAACGAGCUUUGCAAGAUCAAGGUGCGUAAGGCUGCAGGUCCAGAUGGCAUCAGCUCCAGGCUCCUGAGAUGCUGUGCAGAUGAACUCUGUAGCAUCCUAGGAUAUCUGUUCAACCUGAGCCUGUCACUGGGGAAAGUACCACCGCUGUGGAAGACCUGUGUGGUACCGGUACCAAAGACCACCCAUCCCAAGGACCUCAGCAGCUACCGGCCGGUAGCCCUGACAUCAGAUCUGAUGAAGACCCCCGAGAGGUUGGUUCUAAAGCAUCUGCGUCCCCUGGUGAGGUCUUCAUUGGAUCUGCUGCAGUUUGCUUACCAGCCUGGCAUUGGGGUGGAGGACGCCAUCAUCUACCUCCUGCACCAAGCUCUGACUCACCUGGAGAAGCCUGGAAGCACUGUGAGGAUCAUGUUCUUUGAUUUCUCCAGUGCUUUCAACACCAUCCAGCCACGACUUCUGAGGGACAAGCUGGAGCUAUCGGGAGUGGACCACCACAUGUCCCAGUGGAUACUGGACUACCUCGCAGAAUGUCCACAGUAUGUGAGGUCACAGGGCUGUGUCUCUGACAUGCUGGUCUGCAGUACGGGGGCCCCACAGGGAACUGUGCUGGCACCGUUCCUCUUCACCCUCUACACUGCAGACUUCUCCAUCAACUUCCCACGCUGCCACCUACAGAAGUUCUCUGACGACUCUGCCAUAGUCGGCCUCAUCACAGGUGAGGACGACUCAGAGUACAGACAGUGGACUCUGGACUUUGUUUAG